rnacentral:rRNA from 1 species
AGCAGCCGCGGUAAUUCCAGCUCCAAUAGCGUAUAUUAAAGUUGUUGCAGUUAAAAAGCUCGUAGUUGAAUUUCGGGGUUAGUAGGUUGGUCAUGCCACUGGUAUGUACUGGUCUCACUGAUUCCUCCUUCCUGAUGAACCGUAAUGCCAUUAAUUUGGUGUUGCGGGGAGACUGGACUGUUACUUUGAAAAAAUUGAGUGUUUAAAGCAGGCUAACGCUUGGAUACAUUAGCAUGGAAUAAUGAAAUAGGACGUUCGAUCCUAUUUUGUUGGUUUCUAGGAUUGACGUAAUGAUUAAUAGGGAUAGUUGGGGGCAUUAGUAUUCAAUUGUCAGAGGUGAAAUUCUUGGAUUUAUUGAAGACUAACUACUGCGAAAGCAUUUGCCAAGGAUGUUUUCAUUAAUCUAAGAACGAAAGUUAGGGAUCGAAGUACGAUCAGAUACGUCGUAGUCUAACCAUAAACUAUGACCGACUAGGGAUCGGAUGAUGUUAAGUUUUUUAAUGUACUCAUUCGGCGUACC